rnacentral:rRNA from 1 species
UGGGGGAUAUUGCACAAUGGGCGCAAGCCUGAUGCAGCGCCGCCGCGGGGGGGAUGAAGGCUUUCGGGUUGUAAACUUCUUUUGCUCUGAACAAGGCGCACUUUGGGGGGGGUUGAGGGUAGGGGUUGAUUAGCGCCGGCUAACUACGUGCAAGCAGCCGCGGUAAUACGUAGGGCGCGAGCGUUGUCCGGAAUUAUUGGGCGUAAAGGGCUUGUAGGUGGCUGGUUGCGUCUGUCGUGAAAGCUCAUGGCUUAACUGUGGGUUUGCGGUGGGUACGGGCUGGCUUGAGUGCAGUAGGGGAGGCUGGAAUUCCUGGUGUAGCGGUGGAAUGCGCAGAUAUCAGGAGGAAUACCGGUGGCGAAGGCGGGUCUCUGGGCUGUUACUGACACUGAGGAGCGAAAGCAUGGGGAGCGAACAGG